UCGAGCUGGAGGUGUGCAGGCUGGUUGCUACAGGACCCACAACCCGGAGCAUGCAAACAAUAGCUCUUCAACUCCGUAAUUAAAAAUGGCCUCCAAUAAAACUACUUUGCAAAAAAUGGGAAGGAAACAGAAUGGAAAAAGUAAAAAAGUUGAAGAGGCAGAGCCUGAAGAAUUUGUGGUGGAAAAAGUACUGGAAUGGCAUGUAGUGAAUGGGAAGGUGGAGUAUUUCCUGAAGUGGAAGGGAUUUACAAAUGCUGACAAUACUUGGGAGCCUGAAGAAAAUUUAGAUUGUCCAAAGUUAAUUGACUCAUUUCUUAAUUCUCAAAAAGCUGGUAAAGAAAAAGAUGGUACAAAAAGAAAAUCUUUAUCUGACAGUGAAUCUGAUGAUAUCAAGUCAAAGAAGAAAAGAGAUGCUGCUGACAAACCAAGAGGCUUUGCCAGAGGUCUUGAUCCUGAACGAAUAAUUGAUACUACAGACAGCAGUGGAGAAUUGAUGUUUCUCAUAAAAUGGAAAGAUUCAGAUGAGGCAGACUUGGUGCUGGCAAAAAAGGCAAAUAUGAAAUGUCCUCAAAUUGUAAUUGUGUUUUAUAAAGAGAGACUAACUUGGCAUUCUUGUCAAAAAGAUGAAGCUCAGUAAUUGUUUGCAUUGUUUUUAUAUAUAUUUAUACAUAUAAAAUCUGAGUCUUGGUUUUUGAAUUACUAGUGAAAAAGAUAACCACAUUCUAAUGAAAAUCAAGUUUGGUAUGUUGGUUUUGAAAGUAGUAUUGGGGGAGUUGUUGGGGUUUUUUGUUUUUGUUUUCUGCAUCAAUAGCACUAGUUACUUUGAACAGGUAGAAUAAAAGCUUUCUGUAUUGCUUCCUUUAUCAGAAAAGACUAUUUGGU